UGCUGUAAAAAAACGGGGAAUUUUGGACAGUAAUUUACCGUUUCUCAUAAAUACAGUUGAAUACUGUAAAUAAACAUUAAUAUGACAAACAAAAUAAUAACAGCAAGCUCCUGUUCAGUCUUACGGGAUAAUACAGUAUUUUUUGGUCUGGUCAGGCAUGUCAGACAUGUGACGAGCUCAUCUGCAACCAUGAGUAAAACUGAUUUAACUACACUGUUUUUCUGCAUUUUAUUAUACGAGAAGGAAGCAGAAUUAAGGACUAUCUAUCCAUUUUCACUCCGAUUGUGACCCUACCAGCACUGAGACGGACGACGAAUUCACUUGUUUUUUACUCCUCGCCUGUAUAUCAAGUUGCUGGUGAUGAAGUAACAUUUGGAGGUUGGAUGAUCAGCAGUGAAAACAUCAUCAUCUGUGAAGGCAAGAUGAAGCUGCGAGGACACUGGAGUUUGUUCAAAGAUGCUUAAUUGGUGUGAACCCUAAGAGGGGAACAAAAGCCAGGCAGGUGAAGGUGUCCAAGAAGACAGGAAAGCUUGUCCAGAAAAAUGCAGCAAUGGAGUGCAGAGUGGCCACCCUCAUCAAAAAUUUCAUGGACUUUGAGUGGCUUUCACAUUGUAUUCUGCAGUGUUGUGAUAUUUAUGUGACAUCACAGCAUUAUGUUUUAUUCAGCCCAGUCUCAUUAGUGAGGCAGAAACUGACAUUUAAGAAUGCACUGAAUUUUGUUAUAUUUAAUAAAAACAGUGUUUUAUCAUCAUCCUUUGUU